ACUGUGAUUAUUUGUAAGUCGCUCUGGAUAAGAGCGUCUGCUAAAUGACUUAAA
rfam:Salmo salar isolate Sally breed double haploid chromosome ssa23, whole genome shotgun sequence.